AUUGUUUGAUCAACUGUGUAUCUCUAAUAAUUGUAAUAUUAUCUUAAUCCAGAUGACUUUUUAAACACUUAGAACAAGGAAUAAAAAAUUCACUUUAAGAACAUAUUUUGUUGCAAAAGAUGGAUCAAGAAAAGAAGUCCAAGAACAAGAAUAUAUUACAUGAGGAUGCAGCCAGGCUUGAGAAUUCAAAAAAAAAAAAUUCUAUAGGGAGAAUAAAAUGAAAAUAUGAAUUCAAAGGAAAAAAAAGGAACAGUGUAAAAUUUCCAACUGUUAAGAAAGAGAUUGUGCAUUUAAAAAAUUAACGAUGGGUGUCAAAAUGUUAUGGUAUUUAGAUUCCAUUGGACAUGUGAUUAACAGUUUUAUUUAAACGUGUUUAUAGAUAUAUAUAUAUAAUAUGUUGUAAAUUACAUUCUUUGCAAUUCUUUGAACACACGCUGAGAAUUUCAGGUCAACCUAAGCCUGUGGGAGGGGGCACAUGAUAUUUCACAAUGCUUUUAGGGGAGAUGUGAAGGGAAGACCACUGAGCUAUUCUUCCUCCAUCCUGUGUUACCCUAAUAGGAACACGGACAUACAGCUGAGAAGAAUCUAGGUGUCAGCAGAGACAAGAAGGGGUGAACCUUUUUUUGUUCUAUGCCAGAAAGCUCUCUCAAAUGGAGGAAGGAAACACUAAGGGAGAGACACACUAGUCUUGACGCCCUUGGCAUUCUGGAAGGCCUGCCCCACACCCCAAAUUACCAAACCCAAAGCUCCCUUCAGCUCAGGAGAUUGUUCUUUAAUUUUCAGCAACUUUUCCCCACAGCAAAGAACCAAUUUUUCCUUUGCCUUAUAAUUUGAAUCCCUCCCUUUAUUUACUUGAAGACGAGGCUGUUACCCUCUUUCGAUACCCGUGAAGAGAGAAUGACCUGUGUUAGGCCAGGGUGGAAGAGGGGGCUGCAAGCUCCCAGAGUAAACCAUUGGCCUUAUACUUGAAAUAGUAUAAAAAUUUAAAUGCCAGCCCAAAGUAGAACCUGGAAACAAUGGAAGAAAGGAGGCGGAAGUGCCUGGCAUUAGACAAUGCACUCUUAGAAGUCUGCCCUGCAGAUUUUCCUCCCAUGAACUCUAGUCUUGGGACAACACCAAGUUUCUUUGAUUCCAAAUUUGCUCCUCAUAUACACACAAGGUAGUUAUCCCCUUGACUAUCCAAUCACACCAUUGCGUAGCACCAUUUACACAUACAUACACACUCACCUAGGGUUUUUUUGUUUGUUUUUAAUCAAGUCUGGGACCUGGUUUCCUCCCAUUGAAUCACUGGUGAAAAGUCUGGGAAAGCUAAGAAGAGAGCUCUUGGAGUGAAUCUCUUGGAGACAAGGGAACCAUUUCUCAGGUGCCUGGGUGCCCUUCUGGUUACUCUCCAGGCUCCUGACUUGGCUUCCCCAGCCCCCAUGAAUAAGCAGGGGAGAUCCGAAUGCAGACCAGGCACAUGGGGCUUAGCCCACAGGGGCUGGCCAUCCCUGGUAGAACCCUGACCUUGGGCACUGGGCCUCCUGGAAAACCCAUCCUGCUGCUUUUGCAGUUCUCCUUCUUGACUGCUUCUCAGGCUGAGUUUUCACUAGCCUCUUGCCUCACCUCCUCUGACCCAAGCAGCCGCAGGAACUCCCUUGCACUGUGCUGGCCCCCUAGAUGUGACUUCUUGGUCACAUCCUCUGCCUCCUAGGCUGAGACUUGCCUGCCUGAUGGUCCUACUCUCUUCUAUCCUCUAUAACACAUCUGUGAGUUACCAUCUCUGGCCCUAGCAUAAGAGUGGCAGGAUAUUGUGUACCUCACCUACUUAGAGUGGGAACCCACGAGUCAAGCUGAAGAGGCCUAGUAUCCUCACUCCCUUUGUACUCAAGUUUUUCAUCUAUAUUAUCCAAACUCCACUCUAAUAACGAGAGCACCAAGGAAGAGUAGACUAGCAACUGUGUCCAUGACUAUUAUAAGGAGGGAGCAAGAUGGCUUUGAGAAGGGGAGAGGAGAUGGCUUAUGAUUAGGCUGGACUCUAGAGAAUCCUGCUUAAGGCACCUGGAUGGCUCCUGAUUUCCCUGCUCUGAGAAGAUAUUCCCUUCCCCACAGAUCCGUCCGUCCGUAUCCCAUCUCAGGCUGAGAGAUGCUGAUGUGAGGCCCAGAGGGUGGUGCCUGAGAGAGAAACCGGCGGUUGCAUAAACCGAGGCCACUUCAGGUUAAAGGGGAGCGAGUUCUGUCUAUCCAAACGAACACGGUGAGAACUGAAGGGAUAAAUGUACCACCCGAAGGAUUCUCCUGGGACCCUCCCCAAGGACCUGGAUUCCUUAAAGAUCCCGCCACAGCAGGAGCACUCAGAGUACGCCUUCCCCAAGCAAAGAGUCUAAAGGUCUGGGAGAUCCCCUCCCUCCCUCGUCAUGGACAAGACCCAUUCUCAGUGCUCUGCCCCACCUAACUCCAGGGCCCCACGGAAGAAACGAGAGAGGAAUCUAGAGGUCAGUGUCCCUCCCUCACUACCCCAGCUGGGUGAUCCCUGGGCGACAGAAUCACCGUCCCAAAUCUCACCCUGCAGCAGCAUCGUCUCCCGCGCGUUCUCCAGGUAUUUGCACAGGCGCGGGACGCCCUCUUCCUCCAGGCCAGCGCUCCGGGACUUUGCACGGUGGAAAAGAGGGACGUCAUUUGUCCCUGAACAGAAUAACCUGAGACCGCCGGUACCAUGGCUGUGGACGUGUGGGGUCGUGGGAAUCCCUAGCGCUGGUCGCGCUCCUGAGUCCGCUUCCAAACCUCAUUCACGACCCGGAAAGGAUGCAUGCAUAUAUAUGUGUGUGUGUGUGUG
ensembl:lncRNA